CAGGUCACCACAUGUGUACAAAUGUUCCCUUUUCCUGGCAUUCCCUCCAGCAUUCGUCCAUGGUGGAUUUUCCCAUUCAAAACUGUUUUACUGGGCUGGUGUACCACCUCAUUAACAUUUUGUAGGAUUUUUCCUGUAGUGUUAUUCAAAUGGGGGUGGUGGCCUCCCAUAUGUCUACCCAAUCCUCUCCCUGUAACGUUUGUGAG